AAGGCUUGGAAUGAGCAGAGACACGGUGUCUGAGACAGUGUUGUUUUGAUUUUGUGUGUGUGUGCAUGCGUGCUCUCUCUUAGAGAGAAUUAGAUUUACUGCGGGAAAACCAAAGGAGCUAUUGAGAAAGAGAGAGCUAGCAUACACAGGAAGAUAAAAGGAGAGAAUAAACAAGGGGGAGCAGGGGGAGGGGUUGUGUGUGCACGAGAGAGCAGAAGACAGAACAGAAUGCUCACCAGGGUAGCAGGGGAGAGAGAGAGAGAGAGAGAGGGAGGGACUCGUGCUCUCCAGCACGCUGUCUCUCGUUCCCUCUCCCUCCUCUCCAGUGUGUGUGAGAGAGCUCAGUUGUUGGUCGUACCAGGACUAGUCCUGUCACGCAGCAGCAGCCACGUCACCGCCAGGCAGCCCUCACAAGGCUCCGUUACCAGCGUUCCAUCACACCCAAGUGGGCAUGGAGACACAAAGGAAGCACCACAGGUAGCAGUGGAAAGUGGUCCGGACUCUGAGCAAAGGAUCCUGGGAUAGAUGGGGUCGAUAGGCCCCCAACCAACGUGGCGUUCAGAACAUUCAAUAGGAGCGGGCGGUGGAAACCUGACCAGCAGGGCCACGGGAAUGUACAUCAAUCUGACACUCACCCGCGGGGACUCUCCAGUCCCUAAGAAACCUCUCUCUCACUCUCUCGCUCUCUCUCACAUGACUCCUACAAUCUCCCAGAAAAUAUAGCAUGCUAUCAAACAACAAGGACAUUAACCGUGACAAUAACAAGCUAUUUUGACUUUGGCGAGCAGCACCGCUACUGAUUAACCAAAUGAAAGACACUUUGUCAGAAAUGUCUUUCUACAAGCCACAUCAGGACAAGUCCUUCAGAUGGUUUCCAUGUGUUUGAUAACGUUCCGAUCCCUCCAUUCCAGACAUUAUUAUAAGCUGUCCUCCCCUCACCAGCCUCUGAAAGCAGUACACUAACAACAAGUACAAGCUGUGGUGCUGGCCUUAUUGCCUCCUUGUCCAGGAAUGUUUACAGGAAGUUCAUUACACAUUAAUGACCAACCCAGAGGGGAACACUAUCUGGCUGGCCUGGCUGCAGGCAUGUGAUGACUGAGUCCUCCGUUCAGAGGCUUGAGAAAAGCCAGGGCCUCUGGUGUUUCCAGCCACUCAGAAACUAAAGCACGUGACCAUUUUUAUUAGAACCUCUUCUUUUAUGUGAUUUUAGAGGUGUUUAGGGCCAUUUUGGAAUGAGAGAGACAGGAAGUGAACCAAGCCUUUCUGUGUUUCAUCCUGAGCCAUACAGCCUUGUUAGGUAUCCCUGCUCUGGAUAGGGUGCACGCUAGCUGUUGAGUGAAGACGCUGAUCUUGGGUCAGUUUAGCAUUUUCUCCACUUAUGGUUAAGGUUUGAAUUGGGGGAUGGGACACUGAUCCUAGAUCUGUACCUAAGAGAAACUUAAAUCCGGAGCAUGCACAGUAAAGGUGCCUGAUAAACAUCUGACAAAUUACUUGUCUUUAGUUUCCUUGAUCCUGGACGAGCCUCAAAUAUGUUACGGCCCAAGUUAUCUACGUUACAAUAAAUGAACCAAACAACAAACCCUUGGCCGAUAUGAAGAAACGCCACCCAACCCUGGCUGAGUAAGAUGGAUGCACCUCUGGGCUUGCUCCCACACACACACACACACACUUUCUUCCCUGGAGGGACUCACACACCGUUAACUUGUACACAGCCCCUAGGAGGAAGAGUAGCCAUGCCCUAUCACUCUCACUGGGCUCUGCCGUAGCAAACAGAUGCUGAUGACUCUGCUGGUUGUAGCAUCCUGUGUUGCUAGCAAACCCUGCACCUCUAGCGCUUCAUUUGAUCUCUCUUCCUACAGAGAACAACUAGAAAUGUUCCUUCCGUUCCUCUCUUUUCCUCUCGCUUUCCUUCUGUCUCUCCCUCUUUCAUCCUAUUCCCAGUGUUUGGACUACUUCUGACCAGCCCAUAUAUAAAUGGUGCACUGUAUAGGAGAUGGGGUGCAUCCUGGGCCACUGCUGAUGAGAGUGAGGGGAGCGUCAUUGGACGGUCCGCCGUGGGUAGUCUAAGAUGAUUAUAAAUCAAAUCAAAUGUAUUUAUAUAGCCCUUCUUAUAUCAGCUGAUAUCUCAAAGUGCUGUACAGAAACCCAGCCUAAAUCCCCAAACAGCAAGCAAAGCAGGUGUAGAAGCACGGUGGCUAGGAAAAACUCCCUAGAAAGGCCAGAACCUAGGAAGAAACCUAGAGAGGCUAUGAGGGGUGGCCAGUCCUCUUCUGGCUGUGCCGGGUGGAGAUUAUAACAGUACAUGGCCAAGAUGUUCAAAUGUUCAUAAAUGACCAGCAUGGUCUAAUAAUAAUCACAGUAGUUGUCGAGGGUGCAACAGGUCAGCACCUCAGGAGUAAAUGUCAGUUGGCUUUUCAUAGCCGAUCAUUGAGAGUAUCUCUACCGCUCCUGCUGUCUCUAGAGAGUUGAAAACAGCAGGUCUGGGACAGGUAGCACAUCCGGUGAACAGGUCAGGGUUCCAUAGCUGCAGGUAGAACAGUUGAAACUGGAGCAGCAGCACGGCCAGGUGGACUGGGGACAGCAAGGAGUCAUCAUGUCAGGUAGUCCUGAGGGAUGGUCCCAGGGCUCAGGUCCUCUGAGAGAGAGAAAGAAAGAAAGAGAGAAUUAGAGAGAGCAUACUUAAAUUCACACAGGACACCGGAUUAGACAGAUAUAACAGACUGACCCUAGCCCCCUGACACACAAACUACUGCAACAUAAAUACUGGAGGCUGAGACAGGCGGGGUCAGGAGACACUGUGGCCCCAUCUGAUGAUACCCCCGGACAGGGCCAAACAGGCAGGAUAUAACCCCACCCACUUUGCCAAAGCACAGCCCCCACACCACAUUAUACAAUGGCUUCAUCUCAAAUGCCACACUAUUCCCUACAAAGUGCACUAUAUAGGAAGGAAAUCGGGUGAGACGUAUCAAUCCUUAGAUUAGAUCAACAUUAUCAUCCCAUCAGGGGGUCAAAGAAAAAAGACUAAAGACACAAUACAUAAAGACUGAAUGAUGGACAAUAACAUUCAUAUGAAUAGUGCAAUAGGCCACAUCACUCCAAGUUUACAUCAUUGUUUACAUCGCUCUAUUGUUUACAUCGCUCCGUGUUUAUAUCACUCGAUUGUUUACAUCGCUCGAUUGUUUACCUUGUUGUUGUCGGCCCUGUCUUUGACGGUAUGAACAUCUUACACCGUGACAUUAAAGACUACCUCUCACACUGUCGGUGGAUCAUCUCUGUGUUGAUGUUGUAAAAUCACUAGACUUGGCUUUCAGAAAAGAUGUGCAUCUUUAAGAUACAGUGGAAAGAUGCCUCGGUGGGUGAUCAUAGGGAAAUGGGUCAGAGAUGUUUAAACAUGAUGUAAUAUGCCAUGGCGUUCUGUCUCACAAGUUCCUGUUCAUCUGUUCUGGGGCAGGAUGGAGGAAAACCAUUCAAGCCUAAGCCCUGAGAUAUUCACUCUCUCCCUGUGCUUGGGAAAAUGCUAGGCUACACAUCGGGAUGAAAUGGGAAGUUUAAAGGAAAUGCUGUGAUGGAAGACAAAGGCUAGAAGCUACAGGAUUGUGUCUAAAUAGUCUCCUAAAGCAACACCACAGGUAGAGAUGAUACUGUUUUCAUGAGUGAGGUAACGUUGUCCCCAGGCCUGGACACUGAUCUUGGGCCUGUUUUUAAUUCCCACUUAUGGGAAUUGGGGGAGGGGAAGCUGAUCCUAGAUCUGUACCGAGGGGAAACUCUGCUCAGUAAUUCUGCAAUAUCAUUCUCUCUUAUUUGCUGAAUUUCAGCAGAUGAUAAAUCCUAACAAAAAGGUUAACCCAAUGAGUCCCACCGCGACGCCGGCGCCAUUUUGACUUCUUAACCCCUUUUAAAGCUACAGACUUCUGGCUACUAUUGGAUUAGUAACUUCUGCAUCCAUUGGUACCAGCCGUUAAUUAGUCUGUGGUCAACGGGGGCUGAGCUAGAGCGGCGUUUGUGAGACAAGAUCUUUUUACAGAAACAUCUAUAGAGUCUGAAUGGUUUGAGCUGCAAACUAUUAAAAGCUAUCUAUGAAAACGAAUCUCACGAACACGCACAUGUAACAUGUUUUGCUCUAUGAUGCUCACAAGCUACACGAGUGAUUAGAAGGUAAUGGGUUCUUCUACAUAGAAGAUCAUAGGAAAUCCCAGGACACAGUGUCUAUAAUACUGGAAUAAGCUCACAUAGUUGAUGUCACAAACUCCAAACUCCACACAGUUGUCACUGACUAGUUGGAUAUUAAUUUCCCACUGAGUAAACAAUUUCUGUACUUACAGCAUUCAUAUAAAUUCAUAUUUUGUCAGUUUUUUUUAUUGUUUCUUUG
ensembl:lncRNA